CCGCGGGAUGACAUGUCGUACGUAGAGGUCUACGAGCUGCUCCCGACUCCCACAAACUCUGGAAUUGAUCUUUUUCUACGUCACAAGUCAAAAAUCCGGUCGAGAAAGUAGAAGCAGCUCUCGGGAUGAUGCGAGGCGCUUCCGCACCGCUCUCCAAUCAAAAUAAUCGCCGCACUGUGGCAUGAUGGUAUUGGAGCUACUGUACAAAGUGUGAGAUUGACGCCGCGGUCCCGUACAUAAUUUGAAAAGAGACCGCAUCUUAUCGUCGGCUGGACUUUUCCGGUUGUCACCGAACGCCAUGAAAAGAUCGCUUGGAAAACUCUCCGGUGCGUCGAAGCGCAUCCUCCACGGAGCAAAGGAGGCGAACAUGUGUUUGACUGCGACCACGGCCGAGCUUUCCUCUCCCAUCUCCGGCCAAUUAGGAGCUAACAACCCCGCCGAGUCCUCGCUGAUUGGACGCUCAGCCCGAGAGGAGUGUGCGCGCCUGGACCGGGGUCACUCAUCUAGCGACACAUUGCUGCCCCCCGCGCCCCCCACGAUGCCUUUCGCUUGUCCCUCACGCUUCUCUUCGCAUAAUUCCCCAACGCCAAAGCGUUAGUGAUAGUGGAUCUUGAUGGUUCGGCCAAUCAGGAAGAAGAGGAGGCCGGCCAGCAGAGAGAAGAAAACGCCGACGGGAGCGAAGAUGAACGAGAGGCCGUAGUGGAGGUUCAAUUGGAAGUCCGGAC